GACGAACGCUGGCGGCGUGCCUAAUACAUGCAAGUCGAGCGGACUUUCCGGAGUGCUUGCGCUCCGUCGGGUUAGCGGCGGACGGGUGAGUAACACGUAGGCAACCUUCCCAUAAGACCGGGAUUACAUUCGGAAACGAAAGCUCAUACCGGGUAGACGGACUUCUCGGAUGGGGGGAGCGGGAAAGGCCGGGCAAUCUGCCGCUUACGGAUGGUCCUGCGGCGCAUUAGCUAGUUGGUGGGGUAAGGGCCUACCAAGGCGAGGAUGCGUAGCCCACCUGAGAGGGUGAUAGGCCACACUGGGACUGGAACACGCCCCAGGCGACUGCGGGAGGCAGCAGUAGGGAAUGUUACGCAAUGGACGGAAGUCUGACGGAGCAGGGCCGCGUGAGUGAGGAAGGCCUUCGGGUCGGAAAGCUCUGUUGCGAGGGAAGAACGGGCAGGGGAGUAACUGACCUUGCCAUGACGGUACCUGAUAAGAAAGCCCCGGCUAACUACGUG
rnacentral:rRNA from 1 species